UUUGUAUGUUCUGGGUCUGUUUCAGAACAGACCCAAGCAGACCUGGGUAUCUUUAGGUUAAGAUAGAAGAACUCCGGAAGUGGAUCGUAGAACAGGAAUGAACUACUUUUGUGUUCUGAACAACUGAAGUGAACUCAGGCGCUGUAAACAGAACACGACAUUUUAUAACCUAAUUUGGUCGAAUAUAAUCUGUUAAUCAUGAAUUUUUCGUCCUCAUCAUCAUCAUCAUCCGAUUCAGAAAUAUCUAUUGGCCGGAAAAUGCUCUUUGAUUCGUCUGAAGACGAAAGCAAUAAAAAUAGAUAUUGCAUAAAGAAUUAUGAAGCAAUUAUUUCGGAAUAUAGCGAAAAGGAACUUUUACAACAUUUCAGAUUAAGAAGAAAUGUUGUUAAUCAACUUAUUUUACGGUUUUCGCAAUCAGUGCAUUACACGUCUAUUGUCAAUACCUAGAUGCUAUAUCUCCAGAGAAGUAUAUGUAUACAUUCUUGUGGUUGGUUGGCCAUUAAGUGUCAUCGUAUAGAGACUGUGCGGACCGCUUUGAUCUGUCAUUAAGUGUUUUUUAAAUCAUUACGAGAGUGGCUGAUUAGUUAGUCGAUAUUGCACCACAGUAUACACUGGCCUAAUGAAGAAGAAAGGGAAAUAAUUAAAACAUAUUUUCAACAAAUAAUGGGUUUUUCAAGUGUAAUUGGGUGCAUUAAUGGAACCCACAUCCGCAUAGAUAGGCCAAAAGAAAGUGCUGAAAGUUACUACAAUAGAAAAGAUUUCUUCUCAAUAUAAAUGCAAAUAGUUUAUAAUCAUGAACGAAAAAUUAUAGACGUUUUUAUCGGGUUCACAGGGUCUGUACACAAUGCAAGAAUUUUUAGAAACUCGCCACUGAUUGAAAAAUUACUUAAUCCAGAAUUACAUGGAUAGCUUCUAGGAGACAGUGCAUACCCAUGUCUUCCAAUGUUAAUGACUCCCUACAAAGACAAUGACUGCUGCUUAAAUUUUGUAUAAUGUCAAAUUAUCGUCAUGUCGUGUGCGAGUUGAACAUACUAUCGGCAUUUUGAAGCAACGGUUUCAGUUCCUCUAUCACAUUAAAUUAAAAAAGAUCGAAAGGAAGAUAAAAGUUAUAUAUGCAUGUUGUGUAUUGCACAACAUGUGUAGUACAGAUGACUUUGAUUUAUUCGAUCCACUGCCUACUGAUGAGACUCUCAGUAAUAUUGAAAUGAAUGCAAACAAAGAAGGUUACCAGAAUAAUAAAUUACCUAGUGGAUUGGUAUUAAGAAAUGAAUUGCGUGCUAAUUUAUGGAAAUAUUAACUUUUACGAAUAAAUAAUAUAUAUUAAUUUUA